GAGAACUUGCCCUUCGGGGUAGAUCUCCCACCCUUUGUUUAUCACACUUUGUUGCUUUGGCGGGCCUGCCUCACGGCUGCCGGCGUAAGCUGGCUCGCGCCCGCCAGAGACCCCUAAACUCUGAAUAUUGUUGUCUGAGUAAUAUAUAAUAAGUUAAAACUUUCAACAACGGAUCUCUUGGUUCU
rnacentral:misc_RNA from 1 species